ensembl:snoRNA
AAGCACAGUGAUGAGUUGCACCCAUAUAUUGUCGGAUAUUUAAUGAUGACAUAAUCAAGUGCACAGGGGCCAUCUGAGUGCAG